rfam:Strongylocentrotus purpuratus Contig139586_fixed, whole genome shotgun sequence.
GGCAUGGUGGCUCAGUGGUUGGAGCGCCUGCCUCAUGAACGGGAGGUCGUGGGUUCGAACCCCGGCCGAGUCA